rnacentral:rRNA from 1 species
UACGUAGGGGGCGAGCGUUGUCCGGAAUCAUUGGGCGUAAAGAGCGUGUAGGUGGACUGGAAGGUCUGGUGUGAAAGCCCGGGGCUCAACCCCGGAGGGUCACUGGAAACCAACAGUCUUGAGUCCGGAAGAGGAGAGCGGAAUUCCUAGUGUAGCGGUGGAAUGCGCAGAUAUUAGGAGGAACACCAAUGGCGAAGGCAGCUCUCUGGUACGUGACUGACACUGAGACGCGAAAGCGUGGGGAGCGAACAGG